GUGUGAUCCAAGUGUCAGCUUCUCUAGUGUAGUUCAGCUUCUGAAGGACUGCAUCUGAAUAAGAAAAUUAAAAGAUGCUCUCACUAACGUGGCCAUUACUCUCUGGAAUUGUGUCCAGUAAGCCUCUGCUCCCACAGGACCUCCCGUACAGCCACACCGGAGAGGUAGCUGCUUCCAGAAGCUGUAUUGUUCUCCUGCAAAGCUGUUCUGUUCCUACUCUGUGCUUCUGCAGAUAGUCUACACAGGAUGUAUGAAGUUUGGGAAGACUUUUAAAAGACUUUGGGCUAAAUACCAGAUCUGGAAACUAUGAGGUAAGAUCAGUCUUCUAGUGCUUAUGGGUGUAUUUACAUUAUCUCAUAAAAAUAGGUGCUGAUUCAGGUGCUGUCUGUAUGUGCAGCUAUAAUAAGAUUUCAGUUUGGAUUUUCAUUGGUCAGUUAUAUUAUUUGAUGUUCAAGAUGAGCUCCAAAGAUUAAUUUCUCUCCAUCUCCCGCAUCUCACACUGAGAUCCAUUUUUUUAUUUAUUUUUUUUUUUCCAGCUCAGUCUUCAGGUUAUUUGAUAAUGCAGCUGCUGGUAUUCGCUCCAUGAAACCAAUUGUCUUAUGAGUUAAGUGCCAUGAGGCCCUGUGCUGGCUGUUUUUAUAAUGACAGUUUUCCUGGGAAAAUAGCAGCACACUUAGACUCAGAUUCACAAAUGCAUGCAAUUCAGAGCUUUAUACUACACAGUCAUUUGCAAAGAGAACAAAACAAAACAAAACCA
rnacentral:lncRNA from 1 species